rnacentral:rRNA from 1 species
AGUGAACGCUGGCGGUAGGCCUAACACAUGCAAGUCGAACGGCAGCACAGUAAGAUCUUGCUCUUACGGGUGGCGAGUGGCGGACGGGUGAGGAAUACAUCGGAAUCUACUUUUUCGUGGGGGAUAACGUAGGGAAACUUACGCUAAUACCGCAUACGACCUACGGGUGAAAGCAGGGGAGCUUCGGACCUUUCGCGAUUGAAUGAGCCGAUGUCGGAUUAGCUAGUUGGCGGGGUAAAGGCCCACCAAGGCGACGAUCCGUAGCUGGUCUGAGAGGAUGAUCAGCCACACUGGAACUGAGACACGGUCCAGACUCCUACGGGAGGCAGCAGUGGGGAAUAUUGGACAAUGGGCGCAAGCCUGAUCCAGCCAUACCGCGUGGGUGAAGAAGGCCUUCGGGUUGUAAAGCCCUUUUGUUGGGAAAGAAAAGCAGCAGGUUAAUACCCCGCUGUUCUGACGGUACCCAAAGAAUAAGCACCGGCUAACUUCGUG